UACGAAGGGGGCUAGCGUUGCUCGGAAUCACUGGGCGUACAGCGCACGUAGGCGGGUUGUUAAGUCGGGGGUGAAAUCCUGGAGCUCAACUCCAGAACUGCCUUCGAUACUGGCGACCUUGAGUCCGGGAGAGGUGAGUGGAACUCCGAGUGUAGAGGUGAAAUUCGUAGAUAUUCGGAAGAACACCAGUGGCGAAGGCGGCUCACUGGCCCGGUACUGACGCUGAGGUGCGAAAGCGUGGGGAGCGAACAGG
rnacentral:rRNA from 1 species